ACCGGUGGCGAAGGCGGCCCCCUGGACAAAGACUGACGCUCAGGUGCGAAAGCGUGGGGAGCAAACAGGAUUAGAUACCCUGGUAGUCCACGCCGUAAACGAUGUCGAUUUGGAGGUUGUGCCCUUGAGGCGUGGCUUCCGGAGCUAACGCGUUAAAUCGACCGCCUGGGGAGUACGGCCGCAAGGUUAAAACUCAAAUGAAUUGACGGGGGCCCGCACAAGCGGUGGAGCAUGUGGUUUAAUUCGAUGCAACGCGAAGAA
rnacentral:rRNA from 1 species